ACACGCACUGGAGGCCCGAACCCACUCCCGUUGCAAAGGUAGGGGAUGAGGUGUGAUUAGGAGUGAAAAGCUAAUCGAACCCGGAGAUAGCUGGUUCUCCUCGAAAGCUAUUUAGGUAGCGCCUCAUGUAUCACUGUAGGGGGUAGAGCACUGUUUCGGCUAGGGGGUCAUCCCGACUUACCAAACCGAUGCAAACUCCGAAUACCUACAAGUGCCGAGCAUGGGAGACACACGGCGGGUGCUAACGUCCGUCGUGAAAAGGGAAACAACCCAGACCGUCAGCUAAGGUCCCAAAGUCAUGGUUAAGUGGGAAACGAUGUGGGAAGGCUUAGACAGCUAGGAGGUUGGCUUAGAAGCAGCCACCCUUUAAAGAAAGCGUAAUAGCUCACUGGUCGAGUCGGUCCGCGCGGAAGAUGUAACGGGGCUAAAACUAGCAACCGAAGCUGCGGCUGCAUACAUUGUAUGUGGGGUAGGGGAGCGUUCUGUA
rnacentral:rRNA from 1 species